rnacentral:RNase_P_RNA from 1 species
GCCGGUCUGUCGCUCAUUCCAAAUGGGAGGAAAGUCCGGGCAACGCAGAGCACCAUACUUCUUAACGGGAAGCUAUUCGCAAGGGUAGAGUAACGUAACAGAAAAGAACCGCCGGACUUGUCCGGUAAGGGUGAAAAGGUGAGGUAAAAGCUCACCGGGUUUCGUAGCAAUACGAAAUGCCGUACGUCUUAUGGGUUGUAAGGUCAUGUAUACCGGCGCAUGUAGGAUUGCUCGUCCGAUGCCGGGGGGUAGACCGCUAAAGCUUACCGGCGACGGUAAGACGAGAUAAAUGGCAGACAUUUCCGUGUAAAAAGCGGAAACACAGGACCCGGCUUACAGGCAGACUGC